GAAAGAUUCGAAACUCCAAAAGUUCCACUGUGUGCCUCCGGGAGGGGAGGGGGCGCGCCAGGAAAGGAGUGGAAAAAAGUGGGCGAGGAGGAGCGUUGAAAAUUUCGUGACAAGUAGUUUCCGUGAGCCCGAGAGCGUGUGAAUUGCUCCUAAUUACCGUGUCCGAUUCUCUUAAACUCAGGACGCGCAUCGGUCUGUCCGACCUUCCCGGCAAGAGACAAAGUCACUGCUGGGAGGCCCCCUCGGACAGUUUUCAGUUUUAACUUUCGCCUUAUUCUCAUCCUGUCCUGAUGUCACGGCCCUGAGGAACAGCUCGUUCUGCAGAAGAGCUGGAAAAGGCUGUAAAAACUGAAGAGGUCCUGAAAUCAGCCAUAAAAAUUUCAAAGAAAACCUUCACAUCGGAGAUCCACCACCUCUUGGAAGGCUCAGGCCCAACUUUUCUUAGAACUAGGCAGAAAAUUCUACCAACAAAAGUCAAUCAAAACUUCUCGGAAGUUUGGUCACAUUUCCAUGUAACCCUUGCUGAGAGGAUUUUGCUUUGUGGAAAAAAGUAAUGUGGAGAAAAGACAGAAUAUGCUUCCUUAGAGGAAAGUAGGAGUGAAAGUGAGAUGGUGUGGUGUCAUCCUAUACACCCAGAGUCAAGCAGUUUAUUGUGGUUUAAUGAUGAGAUGCAUGUGCUGAGGAGGUAAUCAGAAUAAGUGAGAAAAGGAGAUGGUGUGAAAUUUUGAGCAUUUUGUAUGCCAUGAUGCAGAAAUAAAAGUUCAGCAGGGUCAAGUAAGUUGUCCAAUGUUCAGUAUGAUGGAGUGGGAUUCACAUGCAAGACUAACUACCACUGAACCAUUUACUUCUGACUUUGCUAUUCUGCUUCCACUCACUGAACAUCUCUCUGUGCAAGGCUCAGCACCUGGUAUGAAGGCUGAAACAAGAGCGGUUGCCCAGCAAAUGUUUUGCUAUAAUGAGAGAACAAAUACAUGAAUUAAAUGCGAAUUAAACUGCUUCUAUCUCCUUAUGGUGGCAAAUAGUAUCCAUGUGUUAUCAAUGAAGUCAAGUCAAACUUCACCCAGCUGUAGCUUCUGGAUUCAGACUGUAAAUUCUACAAGGGUGAGAUCGAUGCCAUUGUUUUUCUUCACUGUGUUUGCAGUGUUUAGCUUGGUGCUUAGCAUAAUAAAAGUGGAUGGGUGACAGAGGAAAGAAUUUGUAUACCCCAAAUUUGAAAGGCUUUUCCCCCAGUACAUUUAAACAAACUUUUA